CAAAAUAUUUGUAAAGAGGAAAAAAAAAAAGUUUAUUGGACUAUGGUAUUAGGUUAGUUGAGGACACGACGAAUUGACGUGGAGUCAAGACUUUCGGUGGACCAUCCGACCAAGUCGCCAUCCAUUGCAUGGGAAAGUCUAUACUAAAAAGCUAAGUGGACUUGCAAUAUUUUUAUGUUCAACUUACAACAGUUAUUGUUUCUUAAUUAAUGAUCUACAUAUUUGAUAAACAAAAGUUUCUCAAACAAUAGUUACAUCGCACUUGCACGAAGAAGCCAUGUUUUG